UACGGAGGGUGCAAGCGUUAUCCGGAUUCACUGGGUUUAAAGGGUGCGUAGGUGGGCAGGUAAGUCAGUGGUGAAAUCUCCGGGCUUAACCCGGAAACUGCCAUUGAUACUAUCUGUCUUGAAUACCGUGGAGGUGAGCGGAAUAUGUCAUGUAGCGGUGAAAUGCUUAGAUAUGACAUAGAACACCAAUUGCGAAGGCAGCUCACUACGGGAUUAUUGACACUGAGGCACGAAAGCGUGGGGAUCAAACAGG
rnacentral:rRNA from 1 species